AAGUACCCCGAGGAAAAGAAAUCAACCGAGAUUCCCCCAGUAGCGGCGAGCGAACGGGGAGGAGCCCAGAGCCUGAAUCAGUGUGUGUGUUAGUGGAAGCGUCUGGAAAGGCGCGCGAUACAGGGUGACAGCCCCGUACACAAAAAUGCACAUAUUGUGAGCUCGAUGAGUAGGGCGGGACACGUGGUAUCCUGUCUGAAUAUGGGGGGACCAUCCUCCAAGGCUAAAUACUCCUGACUGACCGAUAGUGAACCAGUACCGUGAGG
rnacentral:rRNA from 1 species